rnacentral:rRNA from 1 species
AGCUACAGGCUUAACACAUGCAAGUCGAGGGGCAGCAUGGUCUUAGCUUGCUAAGACUGAUGGCGACCGGCGCACGGGUGAGUAACACGUAUCCAACCUGCCGUCUACUCUUGGACAGCCUUCUGAAAGGAAGAUUAAUACAAGAUGGCAUCAUGAGUCCGCAUGUUCACAUGAUUAAAGGUAUUCCGGUAGACGAUGGGGAUGCGUUCCAUUAGAUAGUAGGCGGGGUAACGGCCCACCUAGUCUUCGAUGGAUAGGGGUUCUGAGAGGAAGGUCCCCCACAUUGGAACUGAGACACGGUCCAAACUCCUACGGGAGGCAGCAGUGAGGAAUAUUGGUCAAUGGGCGAGAGCCUGAACCAGCCAAGUAGCGUGAAGGAUGACUGCCCUAUGGGUUGUAAACUUCUUUUAUAAAGGAAUAAAGUCGGGUAUGCAUACCCGUUUGCAUGUACUUUAUGAAUAAGGAUCGGCUAACUCCGUGCCAGCAGCCGCGGUAAUACGGAGGAUCCGAGCGUUAUCCGGAUUUAUUGGGUUUAAAGGGAGCGUAGAUGGAUGUUUAAGUCAGUUGUGAAAGUUUGCGGCUCAACCGUAAAAUUGCAGUUGAUACUGGAUAUCUUGAGUGCAGUUGAGGCAGGCGGAAUUCGUGGUGUAGCGGUGAAAUACUUAGAUAUCACGAAGAACUCCGAUUGCGAAGGCAGCCUGCUAAGCUGCAACUGACAUUGAGGCUCGAAAGUGUGGGUAUCAAACAGGAUUAGAUACCCUGGUAGUCCACACGGUAAACGAUGAAUACUCGCUGUUUGCGAUAUACGGCAAGCGGCCAAGCGAAAGCGUUAAGUAUUCCACCUGGGGAGUACGCCGGCAACGGUGAAACUCAAAGGAAUUGACGGGGGCCCGCACAAGCGGAGGAACAUGUGGUUUAAUUCGAUGAUACGCGAGGAACCUUACCCGGGCUUAAAUUGCAGAUGAAUUACGGUGAAAGCCGUAAGCCGCAAGGCAUCUGUGAAGGUGCUGCAUGGUUGUCGUCAGCUCGUGCCGUGAGGUGUCGGCUUAAGUGCCAUAACGAGCGCAACCCUUGUUGUCAGUUACUAACAGGUUCCGCUGAGGACUCUGACAAGACUGCCAUCGUAAGAUGUGAGGAAGGUGGGGAUGACGUCAAAUCAGCACGGCCCUUACGUCCGGGGCUACACACGUGUUACAAUGGGGGGUACAGAGGGCCGCUACCACGCGAGUGGAUGCCAAUCCCAAAAACCUCUCUCAGUUCGGACUGGAGUCUGCAACCCGACUCCACGAAGCUGGAUUCGCUAGUAAUCGCGCAUCAGCCACGGCGCGGUGAAUACGUUCCCGGGCCUUGUACACACCGCCCGUCAAGCCAUGGGAGCCGGGGGUACCUGAAGUGCGUAACCGCGAGGAGCGCCCUAGGGUAAAACUGGUGACUGGGGCU